rnacentral:rRNA from 1 species
GGCUGCAGUCGAGAAUCUUCGCAUGAGCGAAAGCUUGACGAAGCGACGCUGYGUGAGGGAUGAAGGCCUUCGGGUUGUAAACCUCUUUCGCUUGGAAACAAAGAUGAGGAUAGUGAAUAGCUGCUUAAUAUUGAGGGUACCGGGAAAAGAAGCACCGGCUAACUC